rnacentral:rRNA from 1 species
GAUGAACGCUAGCUACAGGCUUAACACAUGCAAGUCGAGGGGCAGCACUAGGUAGCAAUACUGAGGUGGCGACCGGCGCACGGGUGCGUAACGCGUAUCCAACCUUCCCGUUACUCUUGGAUAGCCUUCCGAAAGGGAGAUUAAUACAAGAUGGUAUUCAAAUUCCGCAUGUUAUUUGAAUUAAAGAUUUAUCGGUAACGGAUGGGGAUGCGUGACAUUAGAUAGUAGGCGGGGUAACGGCCCACCUAGUCUACGAUGUCUAGGGGUUCUGAGAGGAAGGUCCCCCCACACUGGAACUGAGACACGGUCCAGACUCCUACGGGAGGCAGCAGUGAGGAAUAUUGGUCAAUGGUCGGAAGACUGGAACCAGCCAAGUAGCGUGAAGGAUGAAGGUUCUAUGGAUUGUAAACUUCUUUUAUACGGGAAUAAAACCUCCCACGUGUGGGAGCUUGUAUGUACCGUANGAAUAGCAUCGGCUAACUCCGUG